AUUGAACGCUGGCGGCAGGCCUAAUACAUGCAAGUCGAGCGGAUGAAGGGAACUUGCUCCUGGCUUCAGCUGCCGGCGGGUGGGUAAUGCCCAGGUAUCUGACUGGUCGUGGGGGCUAACGUCCGGACACGAGCGCUAAUCCAGCACACGUCCUGAGGGUGAACGUCAUGGUUCUUCGGACCUCGCGCUACUUGCUGUGCCUUGGACGUGUUUCCUCGCUGCAUUAGCUAGUUGGUAAGGUAACGGCUUACCAAGGCUACGAUGCAUAGCCGACCUGAGAGGGUGAUCAGCCACACUGGAACUGAGACACGGUCCAGACUCCUACGGGAGGCAGCAGUAGGGAAUAUUCGACAAUGGGCGAAAGCCUGACGGAGCCAUGCCGCGUGAGUGAAGAAGGUCUUCGGAUUGUAAAGCACUGUUAGUUGGGAAGAAGAGCAGUAAGUGUAUACGUUGCUGUCUUGACGGUACCUACAGAGAAAGCACCGGCUAACUACGUG
rnacentral:rRNA from 1 species